rnacentral:rRNA from 1 species
CGAUAAAAGGUAAAUUUCAACCUAUCCCAUUUGGCGGCCUUCAAUCUUAUUAGAGGAACUGUUGAUUGACCGAUGAUACACGAUAUUUUUAGCUUAAACCUAAUUUUUUAUACCGCCGUCCAAAGGGUAAAAUAAAAUAUUUUACUCGUGCCAUACCUUUUCAAGCAAAAAUGUCAGGUCAAGGUGAAGUCAAUGUUUAAGUUUCAAUGAGUUAUCAAUAAAAAUAAUUUAUGGACUUUUGUUUAAAAACAAAAAUCGAAUUAAGAUUUAAAAGUAUUUUCAGUUCAGUACACUAAAAAGAAUAAGCAAAAAAGGUGUACAUAUCGCCCGUCGCCCUCGUCCAAAGAUGAGGUAAGUCGUAACACAGUUAAUAUACUGGAAAGUGUAUUAAGCGUAGUAAUUCCAAGCUUUUAGUAUUUCACUUACACUGAAAAGAUAUCAUUUACCUUAAUCUUAAAUAUUUAUUCACAAAAUCUUUGCACUUAUUUUUAUCUAACUCAACACUCCAUAAAACUGAAAAGGUUAUUCUCAAUAUAACUAUAGUAAAUUUAUGUACCUUUUGUAUCAGGGAUUUUCAAUCCCCUAUGAGCAUCCCAAGAUCCCGAAACAAGACGAACUUUGUAAGUUUAGUAAAAGUUGUAGCACAAACAAUAUAAACUUUACAAAGUUGAGAUAUUCUUUUCAAGUCUUCCAAUAUCUGGUUCACUUACCCCCGUUCACUCAACGCAGCGCAAAGAACAAGCUUUGCUCCAAGUUUGACAGCUUCUCAUCUUCUCAACCUAGAUUUAAUAGUAUUCACACUGUUCUCAAACCCUAUAUUUUAACAUACCCAAACAAAUCCAUCAAGUGAUUCAUUUCAUCUACCCCCUAUAAUGAAAAUACUAGUAAAAUUUCUUUUUCUUCUAACUUUAAACCCAUCCUUUCUCCACCAAUUUACAUUGAGAUUAUGAACUAGGCCCUCAAUCAAUUGACUGUUUAUCAAAAACAUAGCUAAUAGAUUCCAAUUACUAGUAGUACCUGCUCAAUGAAAAAUAAAU